AACGAUAGAAUGAUUUAACAAAAAAAAAAUAAUAAUGGAGUACCGAAGAAUUACAUAUUGAUGUGUUGUUUCAUCGCCAUCGCGAACUUUGUAUCUCUUCUCUCCCUCUCGUUUUUCUCUAUCUCUAGUAUCUCUUUUUUCGUUCGAUGAAAGAGCAACACUGAAUCUUUAUUCACUGCUCUCCCUUUCGGUUUUCUCCAUGGCAACUCUUCGUUUGCUGGUCGAAAGAGUAACACUGAAUCAUAUACGAUGAGUGCUUCGAAUCUAUUCCACAAGAAGGUAUCAAUUGGGAUGAAUUGUUCUUGAUCUAGGGUUCGACACAGAACUCUAAGCCAUCAAUUCUUUUCGCUGUCACUGCCAUUUCUGCCGCAUCGCAUGGGAGAUAAACAAACCAUGUCAAAUUAACAAGUUCAUUCUGAUGGCAUUUAAGGAUAAUAAUUAAAGGAAUAUUACAAGUACUGAUUAGGAAAAUGUGAGAAAGGAGAGUGAAGAGAUGAAGGAAAGAGAUAUGGGUAUUCUUGAAAGAACCAUCUUUAUAUGACUUUAAAGGACUUGUAGGUCCAUCAGAUAUAUGCACGGAAAAUUAUCUUGCUAUCUGGUCCACCUAGAGUGGGUAUGGUUCUGUUUCUGUUUUUGUUUUUGUGAACGUGUAUCUAGCUUCUGAAGUUGUGGAUAUAUCAAAUAGCUUCGCGUGUGUAUUGCACAUAUAAGUGUAAUAAAAACUAAAGGUAAUGCAUGGUUUAGUAUUGUAACUAACAUCACUUACCUUAUUUUUAUUCUCCUUUCCCAUGUAUCCAAUUAUUCUAAGGAAUUGGAGGAGAUGAAGCAUGUAACGAAGCAAGAAUUUAUUGCAUCACUGCGAAGGUUUGCGUGAGUUAAGCUUAUUAAGUGGUUACUGAAAUUUAUCAAUGUUAUGCCAGUUCAUGUCACCACUAGUAGAGUUUCAUUUUUUAGACAACACAUUUAGGUGGG